rnacentral:lncRNA from 1 species
UACUUGCCGAAAUUAGGGUUGGACAAACUAAACCGAAGAGUUUAUGGACCUUCACAAAGUUUUAGAGCUAACCUAUGAAUAAACCAAUUCGAUUCGAUUCAUGAUUCAAGUCCAAAAUCUGAACAUCUACUAUAGCAAAUCAACUCCGUUUAAAUCUUGAUCUCACCAAUAAUCUCCACACGAGCAUUUCCCAUCUUUGAAAUAGUGAAAUCUUCUAACAUCCCUUACAAUUAUCUCCCUCUCAACAACCUUGGAAAUGAACUUGGUUGCAGAAUGGCAGUCAUUGCACACUCUAAGAUUCUUCGCUACACGAAUUGGAACGCCAGGUGGCAGGUUGAGCAACCCGAAAGCAAUCGCCAGACGCUCACUGUGCCCACAUAGCAAAGUCUCUUUUUCCUCCUCGUUUACAUUGUGUAGAACACAUGACGUAUCGGGAACAUAACCUUCCUGUUUCAGUCUUUCUGAUAAUGUUUCAAGAAACCUGUGAAGUUGCUCGCUUUGCGGGUGCGAAAAAUCCCCAGAAACGAAUUUGUGAACUUCAUCAUCAAACUCAAUCCAACUGCAACCCGGUUCUUUCUUUACGCCGUUUCUGAUCAUAGUUUUUCUAACUUCUGUUGCUUUCUCCCAUAAUCCAGCAGAUGAGUAGAUGUUUGAAAGAAGAACAUAGUGGCUAGCAACGUUCGGCUCUAAUUCGAGCAACCGACGAGCCGCAAUCUCACCGAGUUCAACGUUUUGGUGAAUCCAGCAAGCUCCAAGUAAGCUACUCCAAGCACCUACUUUAUCGAACGGCGAAGGCAUGCUAUCGAUAAGCUCAUGGGCUUCGGCUAAUUGACCCGCUCUACCGAGCAAGUCAACCACACAGCCAUAGUGAUCUUCUGUUGGGUCAACGCCAAAUUCAUCUUUCAUUCUACAGAACAGGUUCUGUCCUUCAGUUACCAUUCCCGAAUGACUGCACGCUGCAAAAAGUGAAAUGAAUGUGACCUCAUUCGGCUUGACUUCAGCCACCAUGUUUUCGAAAAGUGAUAACGCGAUAUCUCCUCUCCCGUGCAUACCGUAAGCCAUGAACAUGACAUUCCAUGUGAUCACGUUUCUUAUAGGCAUCUUGUCGAACACGUUUCGGGCUAACGUUAAACAGCCACAUUUAGCAUACAUGUCAGCCAGUGCGCUUCCUACGGCAACAUCCGAUGCCAACAGAUUUCUAAUAGCGUAAGCAUGGAUUUCUUUCCCCUUUGCUAGAGCUGAUAACGCUGCACAUCCUGGAAGAACCGUCAUUAAUGUUAUUACAUUCGGUUUACGCUCGUUUUUAACGUUUGGUUCAUCUCUUUGUGUCAUCUUAUGAAGUAGAUCCAACGCGUGUUCAUGACAUCCGCAAACCACAUAUCCAGUGAUCAUCGUAUUCCAAGAAACCGUAUCUUUAACCUCCAUGCUAUCAAAUAUGUUUCUUGAAACAUCAACCUUUCCAAUUCUAGAGUACAAAUCCAUCAGCGCGUUUUGCACAUACCCGUCUUCCGAAAACCCCAUUUUCGCGACAUAACCAUGCACGCCUUCUUUAUCACGAAAACGUUCACAGUGCGUAGAAGCUGGCAAUAC